rnacentral:rRNA from 1 species
AAAUUGAAGAGUUUGAUCAUGGCUCAGAUUGAACGCUGGCGGCAGGCCUAACACAUGCAAGUCGAGCGGUAGCACAGAGAGCUUGCUCUCGGGUGACGAGCGGCGGACGGGUGAGUAAUGUCUGGGAAACUGCC